GGCACCUUGCUAGAGUGGUCCAAUAGACGGGUCUGCAAAACCUUGGUUCGUGAGUUCGAAUCUCACAGGUGCCUCCA
rnacentral:tRNA from 1 species